CCUACGGGAGGCAGCAGUGGGGAAUAUUGGUCAAUGGGCUUACGCCUGAACCAGCCAAGUCGCGUGAGGGAAGACUGCCCUAUGGGUUGUAAACCUCUUUUGUCAGGGAGCAACGCCGGCUACGUGUAGCCGGACUGAGAGUACCUGAAGAAAAAGCAUCGGCUAACUCCGUGCCAGCAGCCGCGGUAAUACGGAGGAUGCGAGCGUUAUCCGGAUUUUUUGGGUUUAAAGGGUGCGUAGGCGGAAUGCCAAGUCAGCGGUAAAAUCGCGGGGCUCAACCUCGCUCCGCCGUUGAAACUGGCGUUCUUGAGUGGGCGAGAAGUAUGCGGAAUGCGUGGUGUAGCGGUGAAAUGCAUAGAUAUCACGCAGAACUCCGAUUGCGAAGGCAGCAUACCGGCGCCCAACUGACGCUGAAGCACGAAAGCGUGGGUAUCGAACAGGAUUAGAUACCCUAGUAGUC
rnacentral:rRNA from 1 species